rnacentral:misc_RNA from 1 species
GCUACUACCGAUUGAAUGGUUUAGUGAGGAAUCCUGAUUGGCGCCGCCGCCCCGGCAACGGAGCAGCGGACUGCCGAAAAGUUGUUCAAACUUGAUCAUUUAGAGGAAGUAAAAGUCGUAACAAGGUUUCCGUAGGUGAACCUGCAGAAGGAUCAAGCUCGUAUUACCUUCCUGUCGGGUAAGACUUUAGCUCUCCGUUUUCGCCGUAUCUUUAACUAUACAUUUCUUCCCCUCUCUUCUCCUUUUUCUUCUCUUCUUCUUUUAUUCUUUCCUUUCC